GUGUCAGCCGCCGCGGUAAGACGGAGGGGGCUAGCGUUGUUCGGAAUUACUGGGCGUAAAGGGCGUGUAGGCGGUCCGCUAAGUCGGAGGUGAAAGCCCCGGGCUCAACCUGGGAAUGGCCUUCGAUACUGGCGGGCUCGAGUCCGGGAGAGGGUAGUGGAAUUCCCAGUGUAGAGGUGAAAUUCGUAGAUAUUGGGAAGAACACCAGUGGCGAAGGCGGCUACCUGGACCGGUACUGACGCUGAGGCGCGAAAGCGUGGGGAGCAAACAGGAUUAGAUACCCUGGUAGUCCACGCCGUAAACGAUGUCAGCUAGACGUCGGGGAGCGCAGCUCCUCGGUGUCGCAGCAAACGCAUUAAGCUGACCGCCUGGGGAGUACGGCCGCAAGGUUAAAACUUAAAUGAAUUGACGGGG
rnacentral:rRNA from 1 species